GAUGAACGCUGGCGGCGUGCUUAACACAUGCAAGUCGAACGGAAAGGCCCAAGCUUGCUUGGGUACUCGAGUGGCGAACGGGUGAGUAACACGUGGGUGAUCUGCCCUGCACUUCGGGAUAAGCCUGGGAAACUGGGUCUAAUACCGGAUAGGACCACUUCUUGGAUGUUGUGGUGGAAAGUUUUUUCGGUGUGGGAUGAGCUCGCGGCCUAUCAGCUUGUUGGUGGGGUAAUGGCCUACCAAGGCGUCGACGGGUAGCCGGCCUGAGAGGGUGUACGGCCACAUUGGGACUGGGAUACGGCCCAGACUCCUACGGGGGGCAGCAGUGGGGAAUAUUGCACAAUGGGCGCAAGCCUGAUGCAGCGACGCCGCGGGGGGGAUGACGGCCUUCGGGUUGUAAACUCCUUUCGCUAGGGACGAAGCGUUUUGUGACGGUACCUGGAGAAGAAGCACCGGCUAACUACGUG
rnacentral:rRNA from 1 species